rnacentral:rRNA from 1 species
UACGUAGGGGGCAAGCGUUGUCCGGAUUUAUUGGGCGUAAAGAGCGUGUAGGCGGUUUGGUAGGUCCGCUGUGAAAACUCGAGGCUCAACCUCGAGACGCCGGUGGAAACCAUCAGGCUAGAGUCCGGAAGAGGAGAGUGGAAUUCCUGGUGUAGCGGUGAAAUGCGCAGAUAUCAGGAAGAACACCCGUGGCUAAGGCAGAUCUCUGGGCCGUAACUGACGCUGAGGAGCGAAAGCAUGGGGAGCGAACAGG